rnacentral:rRNA from 1 species
UACGAAGGGGGCUAGCGUUGUUCGGAAUUACUGGGCGUAAAGGGCGCGUAGGCGGUGUGUCAAGUCAGGCGUGAAAGCCCGGGCUCAACCUGGGAACCGCGCUUGAGACUGGCACGCUCGAGUUCGGGAGAGGAUGGUGGAAUUCCCAGUGUAGAGGUGAAAUUCGUAGAUAUUGGGAAGAACACCGAUGGCGAAGGCAGCCAUCUGGACCGACACUGACGCUGAGGCGCGAAAGCGUGGGGAGCAAACAGG